rnacentral:rRNA from 1 species
UACGUAGGGUGCAAGCGUUGUCCGGAAUUAUUGGGCGUAAAGAGCUCGUAGGCGGUCUGUCGCGUCGGCUGUGAAAACUCGGGGCUCAACCCCGAGCCUGCAGUCGAUACGGGCAGACUAGAGUGCGGUAGGGGAGACUGGAAUUCCUGGUGUAGCGGUGAAAUGCGCAGAUAUCAGGAGGAACACCGGUGGCGAAGGCGGGUCUCUGGGCCGUAACUGACGCUGAGGAGCGAAAGCGUGGGGAGCAACAGG